AGGCCUGGAUGGGGCUGCAUCAGCACAAGUGAGGUGUUAGCGGGUAACCCCUGUGUUCCUACAGAACAGCAUCAGUCCAGUCCACUGGAGGAUGGCAGUCAGGACCGUGGGAAGUGGCUGGGGUGGGGGGGGGGGGUCACGCUCCAGACUUCUCAUGGUGGUGACAGCCAGAGGAAAAAUGGCAGGAGGGGAUGAGGGGCUCCAGACCUCCCGCGGCACCCUGAGGGGAGACCGGCCGCCUGCUUUAGUACACUUUCUCCAAGAGACCACCCACCAGCAAAGUAUGUAAAGGGACAGACAGCCCCCAGGAGCACACGUCCGUCUCGUAGGGCUCCACGCCAGAGAAACACAACAUCGAGAACCGACAAAGAAUGAAAGGGGCUGCUAGAUUCCAAGCAGGAAUUGUGUUCCAUUUCGGAGUCAAUCUGAAAACAAUUUAUUAUUAUGUGGAACCCUCACAGGGACACAGCUGCAGAGGGACAAUGAGCAGGGCCCAGAACCGAGGAGAAGGGAAGGGGCCGGGCUGUAUGUGGAAAACCAGGGACAUGUACAAGUGCAAGAUCAUAAAAGGAAGAGACAGAAGAAGAACGGCCCCAGAGCUACCUGGUAACCUGCCCAAAGCCCAGGGAAGAGAAGAGCGUCUCCAGCAAGAUGAAUAAGGAAGAGAGUAUACAAUGCCUACUGUGUGCCAAGCACCGUGCCAGGUGCCUCAGAAAUCUCACAAGCACCCUGGGAGGGAAGAGCUUGUCCCCAUUUUACAGGAGGAAGUGCACCGAGCUGCCCAGGCCCCGAGUCCAAAUCCCUGCUCUCACACUGCCCGGUUGGGACCACACGGCUUUCUUCUUGGGACCUCGGUUUCCCCGUGAGUAAAUAGGAAUAAUGAUUCCUACCCUGUCCAAGUCCCAGGAAAAUAAUUUGUAAACUUUAAAGCUUUAUAGAAAUGGGAGUUUCU